CCUACGGGAGGCAGCAGUGGGGAAUUUUGGACAAUGGGCGCAAGCCUGAUCCAGCAAUGCCGCGUGCAGGAUGAAGGCCUUCGGGUUGUAAACUGCUUUUGUACGGAACGAAACGGUCUGCUCUAAUACAGUGGGCUAAUGACGGUACCGUAAGAAUAAGCACCGGCUAACUACGUGCCAGCAGCCGCGGUAAUACGUAGGGUGCGAGCGUUAAUCGGAAUUACUGGGCGUAAAGCGUGCGCAGGCGGUUAUAUAAGACAGAUGUGAAAUCCCCGGGCUCAACCUGGGACCUGCAUUUGUGACUGUAUAGCUAGAGUGCGGCAGAGGGGGAUGGAAUUCCGCGUGUAGCAGUGAAAUGCGUAGAUAUGCGGAGGAACACCGAUGGCGAAGGCAAUCCCCUGGGCCUGCACUGACGCUCAUGCACGAAAGACGUGGGGAGGACGAAACAAGGAGUAGUAUACCUACGGUAGUACCGACCGACCCUAAACCGAACUGU
rnacentral:rRNA from 1 species